ACGCAACCUUAAUCGUAAUGCUGACAUUAAUGUUACCACCGCAUCGAGGAUACGUUGUAUUUCUAUGCACAACGUUACCAACUAAGCCUACUCAUCAUUAAACUUGGCGCUGCCGUAAGCUAGAUGGCUACUAGCCAGCAGCUAGCUAGCUAAUAACACCUAAGUUCGUCAACGUUGCUGCUAAACUCGACAUAUUCGUCCUGUCUUGGCAUGGACGACCACUGGCUCACAACAUGCAUGACUCCACUUCUCUUGGCUUUUGACAGAGGGCGUGUUGGAGCCAACAUGGGGGAGUGUCCACACCAACAUUGGUCUUUACAUGCAGUUGGGAUCCGGACUCAAGUUUCACUAAGCAUAACCCUUAGACGCAUAUAAGCUACGGUAGCAGCUUCUACAUGUUACGAAGGAGCCACGGACACUGAGGGUGAAGCUACAGAGGCAUUUUGACUCAAAUGUGUAAAUUGGCCAUUAGUGUCUUGAGUAAUGGACUACCUCACAAGCAGACCACAGUUUGCCAGGCUGCAGGGAUGUCUGUCUGAGGGGACAAUCUUCUUUCCUUUUCUGUUCACCUUUUACACUGCAGACUUCAGAUACAGCUUGGGAUCUUGUCACCUGCAGAAGUUCUUUGAUUCCUCUGCCAUUGUCAGCUGCAUCAGUGAGAGGUGGGACCCACAGGUCAUUGUUUUGCCAGUCACAAGUAAGCCUCAAGUUCUGCCAUUUUAGUCGAAGUCAGGUCCCAAGUCUUGAACUUUGACAUUUGAGUCUGUUUGAGUCAAAGUGAAGUCCAAGACAUGCGACUCAAGUCCACACCUAUACCGUCUUCUAUCCAACAUCCAUAUCGGUACCGGUGGACAUUGGCACCGACCUACAAGUACCUAGUGGGAACAUCAAGAACAAGCUGGACUGAACAGACAAUACUUACCUACACGAAAAAGCUGAGAAUUGUCUCUACCCCCUAAAGGUCUGAGGUCUUUUCUGAGGUCUCAGUGAUAUACCAGAGGCCUUGCAGUAGGAGAUAGAAAAGACUGAGCAAAUUAAUGAGGAGGGUGAGCUCAGUCCACGGAUAGACCCUGAAAGGUGAUAGAAGGAUGAUGGAGAAAGCAGCAGUCAUUGUGGAAUCCAUUCAUAAAGUCCUGGCUGCCGUGCGCAGCUCCUUCACCAGACUGAUACCCACUACGCACAAAGAAACACAGCUCUUUUGUCCCUGUAGUCAUAAGGCUAUUCAGCCAGUCCCAGUCCCUCACCAUGGACUACUUUGUUCCACAUCUGCAUAUUCCAUGACAUGCUACAUAUUCAGUUAUGGUUCCACUGGUAUAGUACUUUUACCACUGUAUUUUCAUGCUUUGUGACUGCUGUUAUUUAUUGUGUUUUAUUACUGUGUAUACAGUGUCUUCUUCCUCCUUUCCUUUUACUGUCAUGUUUAAGUUUUACUGCUGCUGCCAUAACAG